AGCUGAUCCAGAUCCAUGUCUGAUCCAAGGCCUAAAUCAAGGCAGAUCUGAAAUCAAGAUCGAGCAAAUCUAAGGCCCAGAUGCAGGCCAAUUCGAAGCCAGAUCCAGCCCAAUUCGAAGUCUGAUCCAGGCCUGAUUCGAAGUCAAAUUCAGGUCAAUCUGAAGUCCAGAAUCAGGCUAAUCCGAAGUCAGAUCUAGACCAAUCCAAAGUCCACAAUUAGGCUAAUCCGAAGCUAGACCCAGGCCAACUCAAAGUCAAGAA
rnacentral:lncRNA from 1 species